rnacentral:rRNA from 1 species
CCUACGGGAGGCAGCAGUGGGGAAUUUUGGACAAUGGGCGCAAGCCUGAUCCAGCCAUGCCGCGUGAGUGAAGAAGGCCUUCGGGUUGUAAAGCUCUUUCGGUGAAGACGAAACGGUUAGCGUUAAUAGCGCUGACUAAUGACGGUACUCACAGAAGAAGCACCGGCUAACUACGUGCCAGCAGCCGCGGUAAUACGUAGGGUGCAGGCGUUAAUCGGAAUUACUGGGCGUAAAGCGUGCGCAGGCGGUUUGCUAAGACAGGUGUGAAAUCCCCGGGCUUAACCUGGGAAUUGCGCUUGUAACUGGCAGGCUAGAGUGUGGCAGAGGGGGGUGGAAUUCCACGUGUAGCAGUGAAAUGCGUAGAUAUGUGGAGGAACACCGAUGGCGAAGGCAGCCCCCUGGGUUAACACUGACGCUCAGGCACGAAAGCGUGGGGAGCAAACAGGAUUAGAUACCCUGGUAGUCCACGCCCUAAACUAUGUCAACUAGUUGUCGGGGAAGAAAUUCCUUGGUAACGAAGCUAACGCGUGAAGUUGACCGCCUGGGGAGUACGGCCGCAAGGUUAAAACUCAAAGGAAUUGACGG